UAACGUGCUCGAAACCGAGUGCCAUGGAUGCUGUUCACAGGCCAAAUGGUAGUGGGUGACUCUUGCGAGUUGCUUAAGAUAUGGUCGGGCCCCUUCAGAAAUGUGGGGGAUAAGCUUACGCUUCUCCAAACCGUUCCGUAGGUGAACCUGCGGAAGGAUCAUU
rnacentral:rRNA from 1 species